rnacentral:rRNA from 1 species
CCUACGGGUGGCUGCAGUGAGGAAUAUUGGUCAAUGGGCGCAAGCCUGAACCAGCCAUCCCGCGUGAAGGAAGAAGGCGCUAUGCGUUGUAAACUUCUUUUGCAGGUCAAGAAUGUUAUCUACGAGUAGGUAAUUGACGGUAACCUGUGAAUAAGCAUCGGCUAACUCCGUGCCAGCAGCCGCGGUAAUACGGAGGAUGCGAGCGUUAUCCGGAUUUAUUGGGUUUAAAGGGUGCGUAGGCGGAAUAAUAAGUCAGUGGUGAAAUCCUGCAGCUUAACUGUAGCAUUGCCGUUGAUACUGUUAAUCUUGAGUAUGGUUAAGGUAGGCGGAAUGUGUAAUGUAGCGGUGAAAUGCUUAGAUAUUACACAGAACACCGAUUGCGAAGGCAGCUUACUGAACCAUAACUGACGCUGAGGCACGAAAGCGUGGGGAGCGAACAGGAUUAGAUACCCCGGUAGUC